UCAUUUAAAGAAUUAUAGAUUUACAUCUCUUGAACGCAAUCAACUUGCCAGAUUUAAAAAUAACCUUACUGAGAAAUCACACUUUGCAAUAAUCUGAGCACUGCGCCCAGAAAAAUACGCGUUGCGAUACAGACUAGACGUCAUGUUGGGGAGAUCUAAAAUCGAAAAUACUAUGUAAAUAAUCCAUUACCUUUGAUUCUCUUCAUCAGAUGUCACUUCCAGGUAUCACAGGUCCAUAACGAAUGUAGUUUUGUUCAAAAAAGCUCAUCAUUUAUGUCCAAAAAUCUCCGUCUUGUUAGCACAUGAUCUAAGCCAGCCGGACUUCUCGUCAUGAACGAGGGGAAAAAAUAUAUUUACGUUCGAUCAAACAUGUCAAACGUUGUAUAGCAUAAAUCAUUAGGGCCUUUUUUAACCAGAACAUGAAUAAUAUUCAAGGUGGACGAAUGCAUACUCUUUUAUAACGUAUUGGAACGAGGGUACCCAACAUGAACUCGCGCGCCAGGUGUCUAAUGGGACAUCAUCGUUCCAUGGCUCUUGUUCGGUCAGAUCUCCCUCCAGAAGACUCAAAACACUUUGUAAAGGCUGGUGACAUCUAGUGGAAGCAAUAGGAAGUGCCAAAAUAUUCCUCAGCCCCUGUGUUUUUCAAUGGGAUAGGUUUAAAGGUAAUACAACACAUCAGGUAUCCACUUCCUGUCAGAAAAUGUCUCGGGGUUUUGCCUGCCAAAUGAGUUCUGUUAUACUCACAGACACCAUUCAAACAGUUUUAGAAAAUUUAGGGUGUUUUCUAUCCAUAUGU
rnacentral:lncRNA from 1 species